rnacentral:misc_RNA from 1 species
GGCGUCCCUAUAUCAAUCCAUGUGUAAUGUAACCAGUCAAGCUCAUUUCCGAAAAAUAAAGUCUCGCUGCCCUGUACGGGAAACAGCAACUGAUUCUGAGAACCGAGCUUCAUUCCGCUUCAAGUCACUACCCAGUAACAACUGAAAGUACUCUAAGCUAUUCCUUCUGGGCCAGGAAUCGAGACUCACAUUACGAUUCCUA